AGUGAGGAGCAGCCUGGUAGCUCGUCGGGCUCAUAACCCGAAGGUCGUCGGUUCAAAUCCGGCCCCCGCAACCA
rnacentral:tRNA from 1 species